rnacentral:lncRNA from 1 species
UUAUAUUCUUGAUUCACUUUCCAUUGUCAUUUGGCUUCAGUAUUUUCAAAGCACUUUCUCUUUUUCACGUACUUUCAAGUUAUUCUCUUACAUUUCUUUCACUAAUUUGAAAGUUUUAAUUUUCAUAUAAGUCAUUAAUCCAGUUAGACACUCUGUAUCAUAAGAUACAUGUGUGUGCAUGAAGGAGGCUGGGAUUCACUUUAAUUCCUUUGAAUGGAGGCAGUCAAUCAUCUUAGCAUUGUUGAUUGGGAUAUUUUUUGUCUAUCUCAUCCUGCACUUGGCUUGCCUUGUCCCUGGUGCAGCUUGUCAUGUUUUUGUGAUCAGGGGCCCCUACACCUCUGUACUUUGUUCUAUUACCAGGUAGCUUUGACUGCUUGCAACUUCGUAACGCGACUUUAUUUCUAGGGGGGCGGAAUCCAUUUCUGGGGCCUCUCCUCAAAACCCUACUCCUUUACUCUUCUCCUCUUCCUUUUUUUCAUUCUUCUCAUUGCAAAUCAGCUUUCUUAGUCCUUUAUUCUACCAUAUACACUUGAACAGUUGCUUGCCAAAUCCCAUUAGUAUUUUGCUUAAAAUAGAAUUUUAAUGUAUGGCUUAACUUUUUGUGGAGAUUGCUUUCUUGAGGUUAUUGACUAUAUCUCCCAUGAGAACAUUAGAACAUUAGAACAUUGAUUAAUAAAGCUUUAUCAUUUUUCCUUAAAGGCUUUGUGUAUAUUGCUUAGCUAGCUCAUACUUUUGUAGUCUUCGUAAAUAGUACCUUUCUUAGCUGUUAGUGUACUAUUUGCUGAGUGUUUUCUCACAUAAAAAAAUACUUGUAAGCCUACAUUCUGCAAAGAUAGAAAUAUUUUGUGAAUCAAAUUCCCCUUUUGCAUAUAUUAAUAAAAAGAAGUAUCAAAGAGAUAAAGACGUUGACUCAGGUUCUGUGGGGACAGCUAGCUAUCUGGACAUCCUAGGCUUUUACUCUGUUUUAUCUAAAUCUUCCUAUUUUGCUAGCAUCUUUUCUUUUCAGAUUAGUCAGUGUUUCUCUGAUUCAUACUACCUUGCUUAGCAGGAUCUUUUUAUGGUAAGAAACUCAAAUCUCAUUUCAGACCUUUCAUGAACAAGGCAUUUAAUUUACUAAAUAGAUGUCCUUAAUAACAAUUAGCUAAUUCAUUUGGGCAGGCACAUUCAUGGCAACGAAUAAGUCUACUGAAUAAAUGUUUUCUCUGGUCAUUAUCUUUAGUUAGGUUCUUAAGGAAAAUGCCAGUCCUAAUUUAAUUAGCUUAUAAAAAACCGUAUUCACUGCAUUAAUAAUACUCGUGUAUAUGUAGGGUCAAGGCCCCUUGAAUGACAGACAGCUGUGAAGGCUUGUCCUAGCACUCAGUGUGUAUCUCCAGAGAAAAGAGGCAGUGUUCACAUGCUAUGCUGAAUUCCACAUGCAUUUUAUGGCUUUUUUUAGUGGGCAUACAAUUAUUUUUCUUAUUUGUAGUUAAGAUAUUAUAUUUUAUUGUGUAUACAUCAUUUUAUUAUUACAUUUGCUAUGCAACAAUUAUUCUUUUUAUGGCUAAGUGGUACUUUGUAUCUAUGUCUGCUCAUCCACUGAGUGACACCUAGAAGAUUACUACCCUGGCUCCUGUUUAUUGUGCUGCCCUAAGCACUAGAGUGCAGGUGUCUUUUCAGCAUACCAGCUUCAUUUCCUUUGGAUAUAUACUCAGGAGUGAAAUUACUGCUCCAUAUGGUAGUUCUAUUUCUAGCGUUUUGAGAAACUUCCAAACAAUUUUCCAUAAUGUCUGCUCUAAUAUGACAUCUCCACCAACAGUGUUGAAGUUCCCUCUGAUUCACAGCCUCUGCAGCAUUUGCCAGUUUCUGUAUUUUUUAAAAAUAGCUGUUGGAGAGUCUGGGAAUGGCGGCACACACCUUUAAUCUUACGCUUGAGAGCAGAGGUAGAGAGAUCUCUGUGAGCUUAAGGCUACCCUGCUCUACAAAGGAAGUUCCAGGACAGCCAGAGACUCUUGUCUC